UACGUAGGGUGCAAGCGUUAAUCGGAAUUACUGGGCGUAAAGCGUGCGCAGGCGGCUUUGCAAGACAGAUGUGAAAUCCCCGGGCUCAACCUGGGAACUGCAUUUGUGACUGCAAGGCUAGAGUACGGUAGAGGGGGAUGGAAUUCCGCGUGUAGCAGUGAAAUGCGUAGAUAUGCGGAGGAACGCCGAUGGCGAAGGCAAUCCCCUGGACCUGUACUGACGCUCAUGCACGAAAGCGUGGGGAGCAAACAGG
rnacentral:rRNA from 1 species